rnacentral:lncRNA from 1 species
GGCUGCUGAGGGAGCUGGGGAGCUUCAGCCUUCGUCCCCCAGUCCUGAGAUGAGAGCCAGGGUUGGGCAGCACCUUGGCCUGCACACCUCAGCCCCUGUUCUUCUUGCAGGUGCCUGCAGAGGGAGAUGCCCAAGGCAGCAGCACGUUGACGGACCACAGAUGGAAACCACAGACAACGGCGAAGUCACAUGUGAGUACUACCACCUCCCUUGGCGGAAGCCAUGCGCCCAUCUCAUGUGGAAUCCCACCACUUCAUUUCCCACUGGGAUAUACAAAAUCCCUGCCUGUUCAUCAAGGCCAGGUUUCUCUCCAGCACCUCAUGUCCUGCUUCUUCCUCGCAUGCAGAGCGCGGCUGCUGGCUGCACAAGGGACAUGGCAGCAUCCCAGUGCUCCCAGGGACAAAGCCCAUUUGCCUGGGGGGUCCUUCCACACCAGCUCCACCCUCAGGCUGCAUUUUCCCUGCUUCAGCCUCUGCUUUUGUCCUUUCUUCAGUUUCUCUUCAGUGUCAUUUCUGCUUCAAGAACUACACAAAGCACAUCACAGCAACGAAAGAUGUGGCUCUGUUUCCUUGCCCUGCUGGGGAAAAUAUUUUAGAUCUUGUUCUGAAACCACAGGCAGCUGCCAAGGGAGGAUGUUGUGGGUUGGUGACAGGCUACAGAUAUAUACCUACCUGACGUGAACGUAGCUCGAGUUGCAGCUUGACCUUUUUUACCCACGCCUGCACAGCACAUUUUGCAAGGUGUGCUGGCUGUGCAAAGAGAGGCGACGCCACAGAAAGCUGGAAAUACACCAAAACCUCAGCAUCUCUGCUCCACUGCUUCUUAAUGCACAUCGCAGACCAGGGUGAUGGGAGGGGAAAUGUGGUCAGGCGUUGAGAGCUGACCUCAGGCAGCUGAUGCCCAAAGCUCACGGGGGUUCACCCCCCUCCAAUCACCAAGGGCUCAUGGUGUGUUUUUUCCCCACAGACUCCACCAUUGCCCACGUUCGACGGGACAGGGUGAGUCGUGGCACAGCUGUGCACAGCUCCUUUCUGCACUCCUGCAGCCUGGUGCCUGCUCAUUGUGCAGGGCUCACAGUCAGCAGCUGAAGUAACAGGGUUUCUUUUCCCCCUAAAGCCUCGUCCCAUGCAGCACAUGAGCGACACCACGACGUAUGCCACAGUGAGCCGCACCCAGACCCGAUAGCGCUGCCACAGGGCAAGGGCACAGGAGCCUUGUCCACAGCCGCCUUUGCUCUCCUGCAGAGUUCUUGUGCAGUCAUAUCAUGGGGUUGAGGGUUGCACUUUGGGCAUCUCUGGAAUUUGCUGUCACAGGGAACGGCUGUGUUUGUCUAGCCAAGAGGAUGAAGGACUCAUAUUUCUUUUUGCAAUGAAUUAAUACCUCUAAAAUAUGUCAGGUGUACCAAGUAAUAAUAUGAGUGUAUCAAUGCUUUUUUUUCAUGUGAAACCAUCUCCCUGUGCUCA